CACGUAGGCACCAAGCGUUGUCCGGAUUUAUUGGGCGUAAAGAGCUCGUAGGCGGUUCAGUAAGUCGGGUGUGAAAUUUGGGCUUAACCCAAAGCGUGCAUCCGAUACUGCUGUGACUUGAGUUCGGUAGGGGAGUGGGGAAUUCCUAGUGUAGCGGUGGAAAUGCGCAGAUAUUAGGAGGAACACCGGUGGCGAAGGCGCCACUCUGGGCCGAAACUGACGCU
rnacentral:rRNA from 1 species